GGGCCUGUAGUGUAAUCGGAUAACACGGCCGGCUUCGGACCGGCUGAUUGGGGGUUCGAGUCCUCCCAGGCUCG
rnacentral:tRNA from 1 species